rnacentral:rRNA from 1 species
GACGAACGCUGGCGGCGUGCUUAACACAUGCCAGUCGAACGGAAAGGCCCUGCUUUUGUGGGGUGCUCGAGUGGCGAACGGGUGAGUAACACGUGAGUAACCUGCCCUUGACUUUGGGAUAACUUCAGGAAACUGGGGCUAAUACCGGAUAGGAGCUCCUGCUGCAUGGUGGGGGUUGGAAAGUUUCGGCGGUUGGGGAUGGACUCGCGGCUUAUCAGCUUGUUGGUGGGGUAGUGGCUUACCAAGGCUUUGACGGGUAGCCGGCCUGAGAGGGUGACCGGCCACAUUGGGACUGAGAUACGGCCCAGACUCCUACGGGAGGCAGCAGUGGGGAAUAUUGCACAAUGGGCGGAAGCCUAAUGCAGCAACGCCGCGUGCGGGAUGACGGCCUUCGGGUUGUAAACCGCUUUCGCCUGUGACGAAGCGUGAGUGACGGUAAUGGGUAAAGAAGCACCGGCUAACUACGUG